CCUUGGAGAAGAACAGGCCCCCUUAAGACAGUAGAUUUCCACAUAUAUGCCUAUAUAUAUUUACUCUUUUCUUGGGUUAGUGCAGCAGUUCACUAAUCUGACUGCUGCCCCUUCUCGCCUCAUUAAAGGUGAUCUGUUCCUGUAAAGUGCCGGUCUUGUUCUUUUCCUGAACCUCGACUUCUCUAACUCCCUUACCCUGCAGGGGGCAUUUACUGAGCACCUGGUUUAUUCCUCAACACUGAGAUUCUUUAUUUGUACUCUCGGAUUCUUAGGGCCCGAGGAAGUGGCUGAGACAUCCUGAGAGAACCCAGGCUGAGAGUUUCCACGGCUCACCCCAGUCUCAGUAACCUUCAUUGACGUCUACCCUCUGACACUGUGUGACCCUCAGCAUCUCACAUUGGAAACUCCUUAAGGAGCUACAUCGGCCCCUCGUUCCUACCAGCUAUGAAGUUAUCUACUUCUUGUUUAUCUCAUCAAGGCUUUGACAUAUUGCCAUCAUGGAAGCAAAUCAACAGAUGCAUCAGGCAGAUGAUGCCUUCCUAGCAUUUAGCAAAAUACCAAGCAGCACUUCGAUGCCCAAGAGAUUCCUUGUUUUUGCGGUCGGUCUGCA
rnacentral:lncRNA from 1 species